rnacentral:rRNA from 1 species
UACACACCGCCCGUCACACCAUGGGAGUUGGAUUCACCCGAAGGCGUUGAGCUAACCCGCAAGGGAGGCAGGCGACCACAGUGGGUUUAGCGACUGGGGUG